rnacentral:rRNA from 1 species
GUGCACCUCUUGUUAUACCUGAAUUGACUUUCCGAGGCAACUCGGUCGGGAAGAUUGCUGUGCUCUGUGAGCCAGCUUUCUUUGCAUGUCUAGGCCUAUGUUUUUCAUAUACCCCUAUAGAAUGUAACAGAAUGUAUCAUUGGGCCUUGUGCCUAUAAACCUUAUACAACUUUCAGCAACGGAUCUCUUGGCUCUCGCAUCGAUGAAGAACGCAGCGAAAUGCGAUAAGUAAUGUGAAUUGCAAAAUUCAGUGAAUCAUCGAAUCUUUGAACGCACCUUGCGCUCCUUGGUAUUCCGAGGAGCAUGCCUGUUUGAGUGUCAUUAAAUUCUCAACCUUAUUAACUUUUGUUGAUAAUGGAUUGGAUUGUGGGGGUUUCUUUUGCUGGAUUCUUCACAGAGAUCAGCUCCCCUUAAAUGCAUUAUCUGGUGCCCCGCGUGGACCAUCUAUUGGUGUGAUAAUUAUCUACGCCGUGUAUGUCUGCAUCAUAUGGGUUUUGCACUGCUUCUAACCGUCUGUUCAUUCAGACAAUACAUGACAAUUUUGACCUCAAAUCAUGUAGGAAUACCCGCCUGAACUUAAGCAUA